UCAAGUAAUUAAGUGCAUGUGGUGGAUGCCUUGGCAGUCAGAGGCGAUGAAAGACGUGAUAGCCUGCGAAAAGCUCCGGGGAGGCGGCAAAUAUCCUUUGAUCCGGAGAUGUCUGAAUGGGGGAACCCACCUACUUUAAGGUAGGUAUUGCAACAUGAAUACAUAGUGUUGCAAGGCGAACGAGGGGAAGUGAAACAUCUCAGUACCCUUAGGAAAAGAAAUCAAUUGAGAUUCCCUCAGUAGCGGCGAGCGAACGGGGAUCAGCCCAUUAAGUUAUGUGUGUUUUAGUGGAACGCUCUGGGAAGUGCGAACGUAGAGGGUGAUAUUCCCGUACACGAAAGGGCACACAUAAUGAUGACGAGUAGGGCGAGGCACGUGAAACCUUGUCUGAAUAUGGGGGGACCAUCCUCCAAGGCUAAAUACUCCUGACUGACCGAUAGUGAACCAGUACCGUGAGGGAAAGGCGAAAAGAACCCCUGUGAGGGGAGUGAAAUAGAUCCUGAAACCGCAUGCAUACAAGCAGUGGGAGCACCUUCGUGGUGUGACUGCGUACCUUUUGUAUAAUGGGUCAGCGACUUAUAUUCAGUAGCGAGGUUAACCGUAUAGGGGAGCCGUAGAGAAAUCGAGUCUUAAUAGGGCGUUUAGUUGCUGGGUAUAGACCCGAAACCAGGCGAUCUAUCCAUGAGCAGGUUGAAGGUUGGGUAACACUAACUGGAGGACCGAACCCACUGUCGUUGAAAAGCCAGGGGAUGACUUGUGGAUAGGGGUGAAAGGCUAAUCAAGCCUGGUGAUAGCUGGUUCUCCCCGAAAGCUAUUUAGGUAGCGCCUCGGACGAAUACCAUAGGGGGUAGAGCACUGUUUCGGCUAGGGGGUCAUCCCGACUUACCAAACCGAUGCAAACUCCGAAUACCUAUGAGUACUAUCCGGGAGACAGACUGCGGGUGCUAACGUCCGUAGUCAAGAGGAAAACAAUCCAGACCGCCAGCUAAGGCCCCAAAAUCAUAGUUAAGUGGGAAACGAUGUGGGAAGGCAUAGACAGCUAGGAGGUUGGCUUAGAAGCAGCCACCCUUUAAAGAAAGCGUAAUAGCUCACUAGUCGAGUCGGCCUGCGCGGAAGAUGUAACGGGGCUAAAACUAUGUGCCGAAGCUGCGGAUGUAUACUUUGUAUACGUGGUAGGGGAGCGUUCUGUAAGCCGAUGAAGGUGUGUUGAGAAGCAUGCUGGAGGUAUCAGAAGUGCGAAUGCUGACGUGAGUAACGACAAAACGGGUGAAAAACCCGUUCGCCGAAAGACCAAGGGUUCCAGUCCAACGUUAAUCGGGGCUGGGUGAGUCGACCCCUAAGGCGAGGCCGAAAGGCGUAGUCGAUGGGAAAAUGGUUAAUAUUCCAUUACUUCUGUGUAAUGCGAUGAGAGGACGGAGAAGGCUAAAUCAGCCUGGCGUUGGUUGUCCAGGUGAAAGGAUGUAGGCAUGUAUCUUAGGCAAAUCCGGGGUACUCUAUGCUGAGAUCUGAUAGCAAGCUGUACUUGUACAGCGAAGUGGUUGAUGCCAUGCUUCCAGGAAAAGUCUCUAAGCUUCAGUUACACAGGAAUCGUACCCGAAACCGACACAGGUGGUCAGGUCGAGUAGACCAAGGCGCUUGAGAGAACUCUGCUGAAGGAACUAGGCAAAAUGGUACCGUAACUUCGGGAGAAGGUACGCUGUUGUUGGUGAUGGAACUCGCUUCCUGAGCUGACGACAGCCGCAGAAACCAGGCCGCUGCAACUGUUUAUUAAAAACAUAGCACUCUGCAAACACGAAAGUGGACGUAUAGGGUGUGAUGCCUGCCCGGUGCUGGAAGGUUAAUUGAUGGGGUUAGCGUAAGCGAAGCUCUUGAUCGAAGCCCCAGUAAACGGCGGCCGUAACUAUAACGGUCCUAAGGUAGCGAAAUUCCUUGUCGGGUAAGUUCCGACCUGCACGAAUGGCAUAAUGAUGGCGGCGCUGUCUCCAGCAGAGGCUCAGUGAAAUCGAAAUCGCUGUGAAGAUGCAGUGUACCCGCGGCUAGACGGAAAGACCCCGUGAACCUUUACUGCAGCUUGACACUGAACUUUGACCUUACUUGUGUAGGAUAGGUGGGAGGCUUUGAAGCUGGAACGCUAGUUCCAGUGGAGCCGUCCUUGAAAUACCACCCUGGUAAUGUUGAGGUUCUAACUCUGUCCCGUGAUCCGGGACGAGGACCGUGUCUGGUGGGUAGUUUGACUGGGGCGGUCUCCUCCUAAAGAGUAACGGAGGAGUACGAAGGUGCGCUCAGCGUGGUCGGAAAUCACGCGUAGAGUAUAAAGGCAAAAGCGCGCUUAACUGCGAGACCCACAAGUCGAGCAGGUACGAAAGUAGGUCUUAGUGAUCCGGUGGUUCUGUAUGGAAGGGCCAUCGCUCAACGGAUAAAAGGUACUCUGGGGAUAACAGGCUGAUACCGCCCAAGAGUUCAUAUCGACGGCGGUGUUUGGCACCUCGAUGUCGGCUCAUCUCAUCCUGGGGCUGAAGCAGGUCCCAAGGGUAUGGCUGUUCGCCAUUUAAAGAGGUACGCGAGCUGGGUUUAGAACGUCGUGAGACAGUUCGGUCCCUAUCUACCGUGGGCGCUGGAAAUUUGAGAGGAUCUGCUCCUAGUACGAGAGGACCAGAGUGGACGAACCUCUGGUGUACCGGUUGUGACGCCAGUCGCAUCGCCGGGUAGCUAUGUUCGGAAGGGAUAACCGCUGAAAGCAUCUAAGCGGGAAGCCUACCUCAAGAUAAGAUUUCCCUAGGACUUUAUGUCCUCUAAAGAGCCGUUCGAGACUAGGACGUUGAUAGGUUGGAUGUGGAAGCAUAGUGAUAUGUGAAGCUACCAAUACUAAUUGCUCGUGAGGCUUGACUAU
rnacentral:rRNA from 1 species